CGCAUCCUGCCAGGUAGGGCUGGGGCUGGUGGGGACAGGACAGCCCCAUACUGGGCUGGGUCAGUGGCUGGUGCUUAGUGGGGGCGGUGGGUAGGAGUGGGUGGAUGCCAGACCUCCCAUGAAGCUGGCGGUGCUGGAGGGGUCUCCAAGCUGGUGCAGGGUGGAGCCGGCUGCCGGUGACGCUGGUGUGGUUUGGCAGGGACUGCUAUCCCCUCUGGGUGGGGAACAUCACCUCCAGGAUCAGCAGGAAGGUGCUGCACAGCUCCUUCAGCCCGUUUGGGGAGAUCCACUCCAUCCGGAUGCUUCCGGAGAGACGUUGCGCCUUCAUCAACUACACGCAGAAGGCGGCAGCGGAAGCAGCCUACGUAGCCAUGCAGGUGAGCUGGAGGUGGCCACCGUGCCACGGAGCCCUGCAGCCCCUCGGGGCCAGAGGAGAGGGGCAGGCAGUGCCGGGUCUGGGACAUGGGGGUGUCUGUCCCGGGCUUGGCCCCCUCCAGCCCUGUCCUCUUUCCUGCCUCGGUGGGGGUGGUGCUGCCAGCUCAACUCCCCCUCUCUCUCCCCGCAGGAUGCCGAGGUGGAGGGAAGCAGGUUGGUGUUGCAGCUGAAGCACCCCUGCCACGCCACCCCGCCCCCACGCUGGCACUCGGAGCCCCGUGGCAAAGUGGGCACCCUCCCUGGGGGGCUCCUGUAGCUAGGGGGUCUCCCCAGCUUAACCGCAGCGCAGCCGGGCCCUGCGUGGUGCCUUCCUGCGCUGCUGGCACGCCACAGAGGAGCUGGGCCCGCUGGAUGGCAGCGGUGGGACAGCGUGGUCCCCUGCCCGGGAGCCGGCACGGUGCCCGCCACGCACAGAGCCCUCCUGGCGUGGAGCCGUGGAGGCAUCGGCCACUGCGGGCAUUUGCCCCCAACCCGAGGAGCCUGCUUGUUCCUGCCUGAGCCUAGGGCCUUCCUGCUCUGCCCCCCUCCCCGAGGGCCUGGAACAUGAGCAGCGGCUCCUGGCCACAUGCUGGGCUUUUGUGCCCAGCAAGGGAAGAGCUGAGGUGCCUUCUACUGGGGUGGGGGGCUGGCAGUGGCACCCCUGCUCCCCCCACCCCCAGCACCAUGGCUCCUGGGGGCUCUGCAGAGGGCUGAGCCUGCCUUCGCCCUGCCUGUGCCUUUUCCUUGGGGGACCUGUCCCCCCUCCUGCCCCCUCUGUGGGCAGGGGUCCCCCCCUCCUGGUGCCUGAAGUGGCUGUGCCUUGUGGGGCUGCCCCUGGCAGGGUGGGCUGUGCUGCUUCCCCCCUGACCGUAGCCCUCCUGUGCGUGCAGGUCUCACCUUCCUAGGGGCACACGUGGGUCCUGCCUGCUUCCAGUCCCGUGGGGCUGGAGGCCAGGGUGGGUCAGUGCCCACCCUGGAGCUCCUUGUGCUGGUGCCAGGGAGAGUGUUCUGCGGGUGGUGGGACAGGGCUGUGCCUGGGGACAGCCCUUACCCUCAGCCCCUUCAGGGAUUUUGUACCCAAUUUGGGUUUUCUUAAUAAAACAGAGCCAGCAGAAGCCGUCUGUCCUUCC
rnacentral:lncRNA from 1 species